rnacentral:rRNA from 1 species
GACGAACGCUGGCGGCGUGCUUAACACAUGCAAGUCGAACGGAAAGGCCCCUUUGGGGGUACUCGAGUGGCGAACGGGUGAGUAACACGUGAGUAACCUGCCCUUGACUUCGGGAUAACUUCAGGAAACUGGGGCUAAUACCGGAUAGGAAUCCUUGCUGCAUGGUGGGGGUUGGAAAGCUUCGGCGGUUUUGGAUGGACUCGCGGCUUAUCAGCUUGUUGGUGGGGUAGUGGCUUACCAAGGCUUUGACGGGUAGCCGGCCUGAGAGGGCGACCGGCCACAUUGGGACUGAGAUACGGCCCAGACUCCUACGGGAGGCAGCAGUGGGGAAUAUUGCACAAUGGGCGGAAGCCUGAUGCAGCAACGCCGCGUGCGGGAUGACGGCUUUCGGGUUGUAAACCGCUUUCAGCAGGGGCGAAGCUUGUGGUGACGGUACCUGCAGAAGAAGCACCGGCUAACUACGUG